rnacentral:lncRNA from 1 species
AUGGCCAGCGGCAGCAGCUCUCCGCCCGGGGCUCGAGGCAGCACGGGGGGAGCUGUCAGGCUGGGAAUCGUCGGGGAGAGUUGCCUUGCUAGGGUGAGCUAUUUGAGAAAGAAAGUAACUCAAGCCGGACGGCAGGCGGGGUCGGGUGAUGUAACAGGAAGCGCUGAUGUUUCCCUUCUGCCGCCGAUCGCUUUCAAUCUGCCCCCGCUUCCAAGCGCGCGCAGAGCAGCUCCUCUUCCCAGGCAGCCCAGGUCCUGGGCUUCCCCUACCCGGAUUAUACGCGGCUCGUCUCACCCCCUCCUCCAGGGAGGGCGGUUUCUCUCUGGCUCCCGACCUGCGGAGGGGAAGACCAAGCGGAGACGCGGGAGCCAGGUUUCCCCCGGCGCCGCGGGCGCUUUUGGAGAAACAAAUGAAAAUGGGAGUUUCUUCAAAACAAAACAUGUCUCAGUCCACCUUCUUAUGAUCAUCAUAGAACAUUGUAGGUUUCAUUUCUCUGCUUUUAAAUCUUCUCUUAGGCAUUUCGUAGUUGGACUGGAACUGAAGACCAAAGUACAAAAAUAUCAUACAAAAAGGCAGUUCUUGUAGUUUAUAACCUGGAAGUAUCUGAAAAAUCAUGAGAGAGCCUGUUCUCAUCAGAUUCCCAUGCAAAUUUUCUGACCAGAGAAGGAUGGAACAGCUUCAGAAAAACACAGAUGCUUAUCCAAGCUAGCCAGAAACUACGAACAAUGUUGCAGAUCAUCCUUCAGUACUUUUGGACAUAUGGCAUGUGCAUAAUUUCCAAUCUUCCAUGUUCCUUUCCUUUGUUUUUUUAUUUUGCAGCAGCACAGCUGUGAGAAUGAACUUGCCUCACCUUUACCCCCCCCCACCCCGAAAUUAAUUAUUUAGGCUGACUGACCUACCUUCAAUCUGGUAGAAAUAACAACAAAAUCUGUUUGAAAAUGUAAGAGGCUCUAAACUCCGUCUACUGAGAUCAUUACAGCAGUAGUAGUCUUUUGGCUGUAAAUUGAAUUACAUAAGUUGUACACACCCUACGUUAGGAUUUUCUUUAUUCAAGAAAAUAUUUUUUCUUAGGUAAUUUCAGGACAACCCCUCUACUCUAGGACAAUUACUUCUAUCCUAGGACAGUUAAUGGAAAAUAUACCAUUUUGCUCUAUCAACAUCCUGAUCAACCUGUUAAUUACUAAUGACUAGUUCUGAACUGUGAAAUUAAUAAAUACCUACAAAUGAAAAAUAUAUUAAAAUGU